AAAGUUCUUGUUUCCAACCAAAUAUCGUGUGAGCAGAGAAUUGUGAAAAGGAAACUCUCAUCCCCAACCAGAUCCUUUGAUUUAAGAUGAAGCUUAAAUCAUAAAAUUUAAGAAGGUAAAGAUCGACAUACGCAUUAUACACAAACAUUAAAUUCAACAGGAAACAAAGUCAGAAAGCUCUGUAUGAAUUUCCACCGGAAACAAUUAAGAACUGAGUUGCAGGGACCAUAUGGCAAACUUUUUUACCCAGAAAUUGAGACAAAUUAUGUGGAGCAAAAAAUAUUCACAAGGCGACACGUGGGUUUUUUGGACAAAAAGGAUAAAAAUAUCCUUGCAGUACAACGAGGUUCCUACGCGCAAGCAGCGGGCAACCCUCUUUCACCAAGACAGAAGUGCCCAAAAUAGGUAACAAUUCAAAGUCCAUCUCAUCAAAUCCUUUCUACAAGGUAAUUCCCAAACACAUUCCUUUUAAAUUAUGUUAAUUGGCUAAUUAAUGGGUUUAUUGCCUAAUUAACCCAUUAAUUCUCAAUUAAACCAUCCAUUAUAUCCAAAUAACCACAAAUACAAACCAAUUCAACCCUAAAAACAUCACAUGGCCGGCCAUCCCCUUAAGCUUUCUACCUUCCCUAUCUUUCCCACUUUACUACCCCAAUUAAGCUAGCUAAUUGAUUCUAUAACCAUCCAUUUAUUCCCUUUAUGUUUAAUUAGCAAAUUUAUCAUAAUAAAUUGGCUAAUUAAACCUAAAUUAAACCUAAAAACCCUAGCCACCUCCUAUCCCUAUAAAUAUACUCCCAUUCUCACCAAAAAGCUAAGUCCAACACUUUGGCAAAAAUCCCAAAAUUCUCUAAACACUCUUUCUCUCUAAAUUCUAACUUUGGCAUCGGAGGUUCUUCGGCCAAAGCUCCCCCCAUUCAUCGUGGGCGCGUGAGGCUCUUGGCCUUAACCUAAGGUGUUAAUUGUUUUGUAGGUGCAAAAUCGUCCAAGAUCGAGGAGGAAGAAAUUUGCAACCACAAAUUAUAUGUUCAAAAUUAGGGUGCUCGGUGGGAGAAAAAAAUGAGUUUGAACAAUUUGUCCGUGAAUAUAUAAUUAUAUUGACCAAAAAAAGACAACAAUUUGUCCAUAUAGCAACGCUAUCAUAAGCCAAAAAUAAAAAAAAGAAAGCCCUACUAUAAUAUUCAUAAGGUAACUAAUCUCAAACUAAGUAGUAAAAACCAGGAAAUUAAUUGAAAAUUGGACGUCACUGUCUUGUUUGAAAGGAGCUCCUAACUGAACAAAUCGGAAAUUGGACAAUCGUCGUCACUAGUCGCGAAGCCACGUGAGGGUGAGGAGUGGCGGCCGCCACUCCCCUCGCCGGAAAACUGGACUGGAUAUCUGGGUCAGCCCCUCCUCUUGCCGGAACUGAAGCCCAGGAGGAACAAUUCGCCCCUCUGUUCUCGUUCAAAAACCUACCCCCUCCUAAUCAGUCACAAAAUCGAAAAGCACAAUAGGAGGAUGCCUAGGUGGGACUAGAAGGGAUUAGGCAGAGCUAUGCGGAAUCUGAAUUUUUUUUUUUUGCAGAGCCGGCUGCGAGGAAGCAGAUGACUUUGGUCUCAUUAUUGCCCGGUUCAUUUGAGAUGGUCCCACCAUCUUUUUAAUUGCUACGCGUUUUCCUUUAAAUAGUCCGCCAUCUUAUUUCUACUUCUUUUUAUUUCCUUUUAU
rnacentral:lncRNA from 1 species